UAAGGAAUAUUGGACAAUGGAGGCAACUCUGAUCCAGCCAUGCCGCGUGAAGGAAUAAGGCCCUAUGGGUUGUAAACUUCUUUUAGACGGGACAAAACCCCUUUACGUGUAAAGGGUUGAUGGUACUGUCAGAAUAAGCAUCGGCUAACUUCGUGCCAGCAGCCGCGGUAAUACGAAGGAUGCAAGCGUUAUCCGGAAUUAUUGGGUUUAAAGGGUGCGUAGGAGGACUAAUAAGUCAGUGGUGAAAGCCUGCAGCUUAACUGCAGAAUUGCCAUUGAUACUGUUAGUCUUGAGUACAGUUGAGGUAGGCGGAAUGUGUCAUGUAGCGGUGAAAUGCUUAGAUAUGACACAGAACACCGAUUGGGAAGGCAGCUUGCUAAGCUGUAACUGACGCUGAGGCACGAAAGCGUGGGGAGCAAACA
rnacentral:rRNA from 1 species